rnacentral:rRNA from 1 species
AACGAACGCUGGCGGCAUGCCUAACACAUGCAAGUCGAACGAGACCUCCGGGUCUAGUGGCGCACGGGUGCGUAACGCGUGGGAACCUGCCCUUAUGUUCGGAAUAACUCUCCGAAAGGGGUGCUAACACCGGAUAAUGUCUUCGGACCAAAGAUUUAUCGCCCUUGGUUGGGCCCGCGUUGGAUUAGCUGGUUGGUAGGGUAAAAGCCUACCAAGGCGACGAUCCAUAGCUGGGCUGAGAGAAUGAUCAGCCACACUGGGACGAAGACACGGCCCGGACUCCUACGCGAAGGGGGAAAGGGUGAUAUAGGACAACGGGGGGAGGGCUGAACCAGCUAGGCUGGGAGAGUGAUGAAGGUGGUAGAGAUGUAAAGCUCUUUUACCCGGGAUGAUAAUGACGGUACCGGAAGAAUAAGCUCCGGCUAACUCCGUG